UGAGUACAGUAGAGGUGGGCGGAAUUCGUGGUGUAGCGGUGAAAUGCUUAGAUAUCACGAAGAACUCCGAUUGCGAAGGCAGCUCACUGGACUGCAACUGACACUGAUGCUCGAAAGUGUGGGUAUCAAACAGGAUUAGAUACCCUGGUAGUCCACACAGUAAACGAUGAAUACUCGCUGUUUGCGAUAUACAGUAAGCGGCCAAGCGAAAGCAUUAAGUAUUCCACCUGGGGAGUACGCCGGCAACGGUGAAACUCAAAGGAAUUGACGGGGGCCCGCACAAGCGGAGGAACAUGUGGUUUAAUUCGAUGAUACGCGAGGAACCUUACCCGGGCUUAAAUUGCAGUGGAAUGAUGUGGAAACAUGUCAGUGAGCAAUCACCGCUGUGAAGGUGCUGCAUGGUUGUCGUCAGCUCGUGCCGUGAGGUGUCGGCUUAAGUGCCAUAACGAGCGCAACCCUUAUCUUCAGUUACUAACAGGUCAUGCUGAGGACUCUGGAGAGACUGCCGUCGUAAGAUGUGAGGAAGGUGGGGAUGACGUCAAAUCAGCACGGCCCUUACGUCCGGGGCUACACACGUGUUACAAUGGGGGGUACAGAAGGCAGCUAGCGGGUGACCGUAUGCUAAUCCCAAAAUCCUCUCUCAGUUCGGAUCGAAGUCUGCAACCCGACUUCGUGAAGCUGGAUUCGCUAGUAAUCGCGCAUCAGCCACGGCGCGGUGAAUACGUUCCCGGGCCUUGUACACACCGCCCGUCAAGCCAUGGGAGCCGGGGGUACCUGAAGUACGUAACCGCAAGGAUCGUCCUAGGGUAAAACUGGUGACUGGGGCUAAGUCGUAACAAGGUAACCA
rnacentral:rRNA from 1 species